UGCUCGCUUUGGCAAUAAACUAAAAUAGAACGAUACAGAGAAGAUUAGUAUGGCCCCUGCACAAGGACGACGCGCAAAUUCACAAAGCAUUCCAUAUUUUU
rnacentral:snRNA from 1 species